UAAUCGCAUCAAUUGCUUUAGGUGAAGGUGCUUAAUGAUUCAAGACCAAUUCAAUUGUCCAUAAAUUUGCUGAAUCUUUGGUUAAUACCUUUUUGCCAUCUGGUUAUCCAUAUAGUGUUAAUGAAGGAUAUCUUAGAUACACACAGUUUCGAGCAUUACAACAUUUCUCCAGUGCAGCAUUAUCUGUGUUAUCAACUCAGUCACUGUUAUUUGUUGCAGGAUUGAGACAUUCCCCAGCUCAAGCAACGGCAGUUAGUUGGUGAGAAAGAGCUCUUAACAAAUGUCAAUCGUUCGGAAACCUUU